ACUUAGACGUUGCCGGCGCGGGUGAAAGUGUAGUAUCUGUUCUGAUCAGCUUAAUAUCUGAUACGGCUGUAUUUGGAGCAAAGAUGUUAAACUUAUUUUUGCAAGUGGGCGGAGUGCUAAAAGCCUGCUUCACAUCCGCCGCGGGUUGACCCGGUAUUGCAUUGCCUUCGGGAUUGGUACACGUUUG